ACUCCUACGGGAGGCAGCAGUGGGGAAUAUUGCACAAUGGGCGCAAGCCUGAUGCAGCCAUGCCGCGUGUAUGAAGAAGGCCUUCGGGUUGUAAAGUACUUUCAGCAGUUAGGAAGGAUGGGAGUCGGUUAAUGCAGUCAGGCCUGCCGCAUUUUCAGUUAGCACGGUUUAAGGCCUGGCCAGGAAAGAAGCACCGGGCUAACUCCGUGCCAGCAGCCGCGGUAAUACGGAGGGUGCGAGCGUUAAUCGGAAUUACUGGGCGUAAAGCGCAUGCAGGUGGUUUGUUAAGUCAGAUGUGAAAGCCCGGGGCUCAACCUCGGAAUUGCAUUUGAAACUGGCAAACUAGAGUACUGUAGAGGGGGGUAGAAUUUCAGGUGUAGCGGUGAAAUGCGUAGAGAUCUGAAGGAAUACCGGUGGCGAAGGCGGCCCCCUGGACAGAUACUGACACUCAGAUGCGAAAGCGUGGGGAGCAAACAGGAUUAGAUACCCUGGUAGCUACGAGU
rnacentral:rRNA from 1 species